CAAAUAUAUUCAUAGACAUGGUGAGAGAAACUCCAUUCUUAGGUUGCAUUACCUGUUUGGGUGAAAGUCAUUGAAUGUGGGAAUCCUGCUCUUAAACUCGAUGCCUUGAGUGUGAAAAGGUUGAUUCCGUAACUUGGCUAUUGUGAAUAGAGCUGCAUUGAACAUGGGAGUGCAGGUAUUUCUUUGACAAGAUGAUUUCAAAUCCUUUGGAUAAAUACUAGGAAGUAGGAUUGCUGGAUCAUAUGGUAGUUGUAUUUUUAGUUUUUUGAGG
rnacentral:lncRNA from 1 species